rnacentral:rRNA from 1 species
GAUGAACGCUGGCGGCGUGCCUAAUACAUGCAAGUCGGGCGAAGCGGGGACGGGUGAGUAACACGUGGAUAACCUCCUAUAAGCCUGGGAUAACUUCGGGAAACCGGAGCUAAACCGGAUACUUCUAGAUGGAUCCUCGCUGCAUUAGCUAGUUGGUAAAGUAACGGCUUACCAAGGCAACGAUUCAUAGCCGACCUUAGAGGGUGGUCGGACAAACGUGGACUGAGCAAAGGGCCAGACUCCUACGGGAGGAAGCAGUAGGGAAGCCUCCCGAAUGGGCGAAAGCCGGACGGAGCAAAUCCGGGUGAGUGAUGAAGGUCCUCGGGUCGUAAAACUCUGGUAUUAUGGAAGCGGUACCUAAUCAGAAAGCCACGGCUAACUACGGGCCAGCAGCCGCGGUAAUUC